UACGAAGGGGGCUAGCGUUGCUCGGAAUCACUGGGCGUAAAGCGCACGUAGGCGGAUCGAUCAGUCAGGGGUGAAAUCCCAGGGCUCAACUCUGGAACUGCCUUUGAUACUGUCGAUCUGGAGUAUGGAAGAGGUGAGUGGAAUUCCGAGUGUAGAGGUGAAGUUCGUAGAUAUUCGGAGGAACACCAGUGGCGAAGGCGGCUCACUGGUCCAUUACUGACGCUGAGGUGCGAAAGCGUGGGGAGCAAACAGG
rnacentral:rRNA from 1 species